UACAGGAGGAGCGAGCGUUAUUCAUAAUGACUGGGUGUAAAACGCAUGAAGACGGUUUAUAAAGUUAAUUAUGAAAUACUAUAUAAUUAUAGUACAUGUAAUUAAUACUCAUAAACUUGAGUAUGGGAGAGGAUAAUGGAAUUACUUAGGGAGUGAUGAAAUAUAGUGAUCUAAGUAGGAACACCAAAGGCGAAGGCAAUUAUCUGGAACAUUACUGACGUUUAAGUGCUAAAGCAUGGGGAUCAAACGGG
rnacentral:rRNA from 1 species